CGGCGGAACACGUGAAAUUCCGUCGGAAUCCGGGAGGACCAUCUCCCAAGGCUAAAUACUCCCUAGUGACCGAUAGUGAACCAGUACCGUGAGGGAAAGGUGAAAAGCACCCCGGAAGGGGAGUGAAACAGUUCCUGAAACCGUGUGCCUACAAGUAGUUAGAGCCCGUUAAUGGGUGAUAGCGUGCCUUUUGUAGAAUGAACCGGCGAGUUACGAUUUGUUGCAAGGUUAAGCGGAAAAAGCGGAGCCGUAGCGAAAGCGAGUCUGAAUAGGGCGCAUAAGUAACAGGUCGUAGACCCGAAACCAGGUGAUCUACCCAUGUCCAGGAUGAAGGUAAGGUAAUACUUACUGGAGGUCCGAACCCACGCACGUUGAAAAGUGCGGGGAUGAGGUGUGGGUAGCGGAGAAAUUCCAAUCGAACUUGGAGAUAGCUGGUUCUCUCCGAAAUAGCUUUAGGGCUAGCCUCGAGG
rnacentral:rRNA from 1 species